CAUUUAAAUAGAUAAAAAUCUUGUUAAAUUUCCAUGUGACAUGAGUAGUAUAAAUACACUGUGUUUUUACACGGUUGAUUCAGACAUAUAUUUAAACCUUGAAGUUGUAAACAUAAUAAGGAUAUAGCCUAAGCUAGCAUGGAUACUAAAUGUUUGAUGGUGCUUUUUAUGUUCCUGUAUAUUGUAUUUGUUUCUACAAUUGAGGCAGUGCAUUACAUUACCAAACCAUUUCAAUUUAUUGGAUCAUGUAAGUUUAUUUAAUUUAAAAUAUUUUUAGAUUUUCAAUUUACUUUCACAAUAUAUUGAACACAUGAAGUUACGUCUUGUUUAUUGUGUUGUUGAUACAUUGACGAAUAUUCUAUAUCCAAUGUGCACGACAUGCGUUGCUUACAUAUAUAUAUUUCAAAGGAAAUUCUUCAGAAAAAAAUGUUUGUAUAGCAAAGUAUAUUUUUUAUAGACUAUGCGGUACGAGCUUUGCUUACUGUUGAAGGCCGUACUGUGAUCUAUAGUUGUUAGUUUCUGUGCCAUUUGGUUUAAUGUGGAAAGUUUGUCUCGUUGACAAUCAUGCCACAUUUUUUAUUAUAUCAAAGGUAAAGGACAGUCAAAUCAAUUGAUAUUUUAAAGAUGUUGCAGAAAAAAAGCAGCUUUACAAUAAAUAAUACCAUUCUGUUUUUCAGGUUAUGGGAAAGGAAAGCGGGUGAUAGGACAGAAUAAUGGAGAAAUGGAUUGAAGAAUUGCUUUUAUUGGAAGAAAUUAAUAAGGAUACAUAUUUCCAAGAAUGAACAAUUCGUGCUGAGACAAAUCGAAGAUGAAUAAUGAAUAUGCUCAGUUUGUCUGGACAUUUGCCGAUCCCGUACUGAUUGCAUGGUCAAUCGUGCGCAGAUGAAAAACUGCAAUAUACGAUAAUGUGGAAGGAGUUUUUGGUCAACAGAUGUUAGAUUUGAACGUUAGUUGACAGAAUAAAUGGAAAUAAACAUAGAUGUAUAUGAAAAGAAAAAUAAUGCAUUUGCAGUAAAGAAAAUCGUAAAUAAAGCAUAUCUAUAUUACCGUUGUAAGUUGUUUACAGUACAUACAGCGGUUUUAUCAUAUACAAAUGCGUGGGAAGUUUUAAUGCAAUCUUAUAUGCCAAGAUAUUUAGUUUUUAACUUCCUUAUAACUUAGCUCAAACUGAUUUUGAUUGUGUUGACUUCUAUAACGCUUUCGUUCUAUGUAUAUUAAACACUUAUAUAUAAACUACUUAUUUUUUGUUAUUUUUAUUUGAUUAUUUUUACAAAUGGAUCUUAGAGUACUUUUAGGUACGGUGGUAUAAUUUUGGUGAUUAGGUUGAUGUGCACUCUGUAAACCAGUUAAAUAACGGUUUUAAUAGUAGUGGUUUUAAAAUAUAGAAUCACUACUUAUAGAGGCACGGUCGACCGCAUCUUAUGUUGUCAGUUUUUCUCGAUCUAUGAGUUUGACUGUCCCUCUGGUAUCUUUCGUCCCUCUUGUAUAUAUUAGACUUAGCAUUUUGUACGUAAUACACAAGACGCGCGUUUUGUUAAUAGUCAAUAAUGAUGCUCGAAUAAAAAAGUAACAAACCCAAAAUAAGGCACCAAGAUCAAGAAAUUUCAGGCCCAACAUUUCCGAAAGGUUUGGCCAAUCUCAAGUAAUAAAAUCUAUUGCUGAGUUAAAAAUCGAAAUUUGUUUAUUAAAAGUUCAAAGUUCGACUUUAUGUGAAUGGCUUUGGGUUAUUUGUUUGGUUACCGGAAUGCAAUAGUAUAAAAGAGGGACGAAAGAUACCAAAAGGGAACAGUCAAACUCACAAAUCGAUAACAAACUGACAACGCCUGGCCAAAAAUGAAAGAAGACAAACAGACAAACAAUAGAAUACAUGACACAACAAAGAAAAACUAAAGAAUAAGCAACACGAAGCCCACCAAAAACUAGGGGUGAUCUCAGGUGCUCCGGAAAGGUAAGCAGAAUCUGCUCCACAUGUGGCACCCGUCGUGUUGCUUAUGUUAUAACAAAUCCGGUAAAUAGUCUAUAACUGUAAAAUGUUUGUUUUGCAUUAUCAAAGAGUUGAAAAAGAAGGGCAUAGUUUCCCUGUAUCUCCGAUCUGUUUUUGCACUUCAAAGCAGUAAGUGUGUUACUACAUGCCAUUAAAGCUUAUGCAUUGUUUCGAUAUUAAGUAAAUUUUUAAAUAAACUGAC
rnacentral:lncRNA from 1 species